GCACGUACUUGAUAUAUUGAUAGUCUUUGGUUAGAAAUAAUAAGUGAUUCUAUUUUGCAAUAAAAUGUGAAUUUCAUUGUAGGAAGCCCUGGAAGGGGUUACAUGAAAGAAAGAUUCACAAAGAUUGAUGAUGAAAAUCGAGUUAAAGAAACAGAAGUGCUUGAAGGAGGAUACAAAGAUCUUGGAUUCGAUGUGGUUCGUAUUCGGUUAGAGAUAGUGGAGAAAGAUUCGGAAUCAUGUAUGGUGAGGUCAACUAUAGAGUAUGAAGGAGACGAGAAGCUUGCCGAUGUUGUUUCCCAUGUCAACGUUAAGCCACUGGAAAUGAUGGCUGAAAUUAUUGGGAAACAUCUCUGCCAAAACAAAUCCACUCUCUAGGACUUUCCCUUUCCAUGUUCCAAUCCAACUACUUUGUUUCAUUGCUCAUUUCUCAUGUAUAUCUAAGAUAUAAUGGAUAUAGAGCGUAUGUUUGAGGUUUAUAAUUGUCCUUUUAAUGAUGUUAUUUUCAAAAUUCGAAUAUAUAUUUUCUCUUUAAAAAUACAAUGUGACUUAAUUGAUGGUUUGAUGUUAUUAUAUAACCAAGGUUUGCUGCUUCAUUAUAAUAUCAAUUGAAUUUAUGGCUCUAUUUUUGUUCUUUUUUUUUGUUUGUUUAUUGGGUCAAUUUUUUUAUUUAAAUAGGGUGAUUAGUUCCCUAAGUUUGGUACGUUACUAAAUAUCCUCUCACACGUUUAACACUAUGUUUGGAUUAAAAGUAGUGAAGAAACAAAAAGUAAAAUCGGGAGAAUAAAAAAAAGUAAAUAAUUACAUUUAUCUUGUUUAAAUAAUUAAAUUUAAUAAAAUAAUAAAAUAAUUUUAAUAAUUUUUGUUUAGAUAAGCCGUGAAAAUGAUAAUUAUAAUGAAUUUUUAUAAAACUAUUUACAAAAGAAAUAAAGGACAAAAAAAAACAUUCUCUUUCUUUUUCCUAGUUUUAUCCCCCAAAUUGGGAUAACUAAAAAAAAUAACUUUUAAGAGAAAGUCAAAGGAUACUCAAUUUCCCUUACUUUACAUAGCUUAUAUUAUUAAGUCUAUCCGAGCAUUUGAGAAUUGUUUUGCAAAUUUUGCGCGAAAAGUAAUUAUUCGCUAAGUUUAGCAACUAUGAAUUCUGGCUUCGAGAAGUUAAAUUUCUGGGACAUGUUGCAUCAGCCGAGGGCAUCAAAGUUAAUCUGAGCAAAAUUUCAGCAGUUGUUGAUUAGAAGCCUUCGAGAAAUGCAUCUGAGGUUAGAAUUUUUCUAGGAUUAGCUGGAUAUUACAGAAGGUUUGUUAAGGGAUUUUCGAGGAUUGCUACACUGAUGACGAGAUUAUUGCAAACAGAUGUUAAGUUCGAGUGGUCUGAGAAAUGUCAGCAAAGCUUCGAUCGAUUAAAAGCACUGUUAAUCGAGGCAUCGGUGUUAGCUCAACCAAAGUCGAGUAAAGAAUUUGUGAUUUAUAGUGAUGCAUCUUUAAAUGGUUUAGGUUGUGUUUUGAUGCAGGAAGACAAAGUGAUAGCGUAUGCUUUUAGACAGUUAAAAAUGCACGAAAAAAAAUUAUCUGACGUAUGAUUUAGAGCUUACAAUGAUUGUAUUUGCGUUGAAGAUUUGGCGACACCAUUUAUACGGUGAAAAAUGUCAUAUCUUUAUAGAUCACAAGCUUGAAUUAUUUAAUGACAUAGAAAUAUUUGAAUUUGAGAAAGCGCAUAUGGCUCGAGCUAUUGAAAGACUAUGAUUUGAUCAUUGAUUAUCAUCCGGGAAAAGCUAAUGUAGUUGUCGAUGCUUUGAGUAGAAAAUCUCUGUUUGCUUUGCGAGCAUUGAAUACGUGAUUAACGUUGUCUGAUGAUGGUUCGAUCUUAGCUGAGUUGAAAUUUAAGCCGAUAUUUUUACAACAGAUUUAUGAGGCUCAGAAAUGUGAUGGUGUAUUGAUAGCCAAAACGAAAACAGAUUGAGUAGACUCUUGAUUCAGAUUUUUAGAUUGGAUUUGAUGAUAGUUUAUACUUCAAAGGAAGAAUUUGUGUUCCAAGAAAUUCAGAUCUCGUUCAGAAGAUUUUAUGAGAAGCUCAUAAUAGUAGCUUGUUUGUUCAUCCUGGUAGCAACAAAAUCUACAGUGAUUUGAAACAAAUGUACUGGUGGCCAGGUAUGAAACAAAAGAUUUCUGAGUUCGUAUCAAGAUGUUCAGUAUGUCAGCAAGUUAAAGCUGAACAUCAAGUACCUUCUGGUUUGUUACAGCCAGUGAUGAUUCUGAAACAGAAAUAGGAGUGCAUCACAAUGGAUUUUGUAUCGGGAUUGCCUUUGUCUUCGAGACAGAAAGAUGCAAUUUAGUUUAUCGAUGAUCAUCUGAUGAAGUCUGCACAUUUUAUUCCAGUGCGUACUGAUUAUUCUCUUGAAAGGUUAACCGAGUUAUAUGUUGCUAAGAUUGUUAGAUUACACGGGUGCCAGUUUCUAUUAUUUCUGAUAGUGAUCCGUGAUUUACGUCUUGAUUCUGGAGCAAAUUACAUGAGGCUCUAGGUACUCGUUUUCAUUUUAGCACCGUGUUUCAUCCUCAGAUAGAUGGUCAAUCUAAGUGAGUGAAACAAACACUUGAAGACAUGCUUUGAUGUUGUGUUUUAGAGUUCGAAGGCAAUUGGGAAAUAUUUCUACCGUUAGUUCAACUCGCUUACAACAACAGUUAUCAAUCAAGCAUAAAGAUGGCACCAUACGAAGCUUUGUAUAGUUGAAGGUGCUGAAAAAUCAAUUGUAUUGGACUGAGCUCAGUAAGAAAAAGAUUCACGGGGUUGAUUUGAUACGAGAAAUCGAAGAAAAAGUUAAAGUUAUUUGAGAAAGUUUGAAAGUAGCUUUAGAUCGACAUAAAUCAUAUGCGGAUUUAAAACGUAAAGAGAUUGAAUUUCAAGUCGGCGAUAAAGUGUUCUUGAAAGUGUCACCCUGGAAAAAAUUUCUUCAAUUCAAUCAUAAAGGAAAGCUAAGUCCGCGAUUUAUCGAGUGAUAUGAGAUUAUCGAAAGAAUCAGACCAGUAGCUCACAGAUUGAUGUUGCCUUCAAAGUUAGAUAAGAUACAUAAUGUGUUCCACGUGUCUAUGUUACGAAGAUACCGAUCAGACCCUUCACAUGUUAUCUUUCCUAUUGAUGUCAAGAUUCAACCCGAUAUGUCGUACAGUGAAGAAUUGAUCAAAAUUCUAGCUCAAAAAGUUAAAGAAUUGAGAAAUAAAAACAUAGCUUUAGUGACAGUUCUUUGGAAAAGACACAAUUUAGAAGAAGUCACCUGGGAACCGGAAGAAGCUAUGAAAGCGUAAUACCCGAACCUAUUUUUUGGUAAGAUUUUCGGGGACGAAAAUUCCUUUAAGGAAGAGAGUUGUAACAGCCCGUUUUUAGUGAAAUCAGAACAGUGGUUUUGAAACCAUAAAUCCACCGUGAAAAUAUUUAUUUUAAUAUUAUUUUAAAGUCUACGGUAUGAUAGUAGUGUCGUAUAAAAAUUUCGUUAAGAAUUUUGAUGUUUGCGUAUUUAAUUUAGUGAAAAGAACUAAAUAAUUAAAGGUGCAAAAUUAGAGUUCUAUAAGUUAAAGGUACUAUAUGGCUAUGAAAUUAAAUGGUUAAAGGAUUUAGUUGGUAAUUAAACCAUUUUGAUUGUGGGUGGACAAUUUUGUGCAUACUAUUAAAUGAUUUUAAUGUUCUGUAAUAAAGUUAUAAUUGGAAGCUCGUCGGAGACCUAUAACACUAUCCAGUAGCUAUAUCGAUAGCUUUUGAUGUUUUAGUUAUGGUUAUAAUGACAUGUAUAGGUGAACUUGUAUUAAUGAUCUAGUGGUUAUGUUUGGCAUGUAUUUAUGUGGUAACAUGGUUGUUAAACUUUUGGCAUUUUGGUGUUUAAAUGGUUGGUGUUGAAAUAAUCAAGUAAAAGUAUAUGUUGGAUGACCAAUUUGGUAUGUUUGGUUGUGUUUUUGUACAUGAUAAAUUAUGUUAUGACAUGGUACAGAAAUAGGUAGUUGUGGGUGGUUGAUUUAUGUCAAAUGUGUUUAUGUUUUGGUUGAUUUCAUGAUUUGUGAUUGAGGUGCCUUUUGGCAUAUUAGUUGUAUGGAUAGAUACCAUAUUGAAUUAGUCCUAUCAUGCAUGUUUGAGGUAUGUUUUGAAACUUGAUUUUAUUUGCAAAUGACUAGCAGGUGUGAGCUUGAUUUGGGUGAAAGAAAUGGCUUAAAAAUGACUUAUUUAUUGUCCACACGGCCUAAAACACGAGCGUGUGUCUUAGUUGUGUAUGACACACGACCAUGCGGCAUGGUCGUGUGUACCCUGUAGGUUUUAAAGGUGGUUUUUCGAAAGUUACAAGACCAGACACACGGGCGUGUGGCUUGACCAUGUGACCUAAGUUAGAGAGUUACACGGGUACGAACACGGGCUGAGACAUGGCCGUGUGUCCCUACUUCGAAUGUCCACAGGACCUGAACACUUAACCACUGAACCAGAUCAAUUUCCUUGUAAAAAAUUUCCAAGAUCUAAACUCAUAAUUGAGGGAUGGCCACUUUUGGUUUCAAAAUCCAAUUUCUUCUAUCCCGACUUUUGGGAUGUUACAACUCUCUCCCCUUUAAAAGAGUUUCGUCCCUGAAAUUCCCACAGUCUCAUCAGUUCCUAAACUAUAGAAUCUAUAUUGUUCCUAUUCACAUAGACCACUACGCUGUCGCUGCACAACUCAAAAUUUAAUACAAAACAAACAAUAUUUCCAAUGCUUUUUAUUCACCAACGCAAAUUAUUACAAGAACAUAUCACAGAAAUCGCUAAUGGUUCUUCAGUUGUAGGUUCAAAUCAAUAGCACUCGCACUCUUCUCAUAGUUAGAAUUUCUCCAUCAUGGGCUUUUGGCCUACAAAUUCAAUUUGUGUCUAAUCAACCCUUUCGAAUCACUAAACACAAUUCGAGCACCGCAAUGCCCUACAUUCUUGAUUAUCGCCCUCAGAUUUGAGCAUCCUUACAGGUUCAUAAAUUCUUAGAUUAGACUCGUUACCCCAAGAAAAGGACUCGACUCGAGUCGCUCGACGAUUAAGGCUACCUAUACUUAUUAUUUUAAUCUACAGUUUCAGAGAUUCUAUGAGUUAACUUAGGUUUAUCAACAAUCCUAAGACAAAAGUUUUAGCAGAGGUUUUCACAGAGUUUCCACAGUUUUUAACUAGAACAUAGUAAUCAAACACUACAAUAUGUGUUAGCUCAUUUAACAUAGCUAAAGUAGAGAUACUUACAGAUCGGCGUCGGAGUCUCGGAUUCUUUAUUUACAGACUCGAAAAUAGUCAAAAUCUGAACAUACAGUUUUUUCAGGAAGUCAGUCAGAAGUUUCAUUUACUUAAAACAUUUUUUAAGAAGAGUUUUGAACCCAAAAACCAUAACCUGAGCUUUGCAAACUUAGCUCUAAUGCCUCUGAAUGUAACAACUCAAAUUCGGCCUAGAAGUUUAAGCCAAAUUUGGAUUAGUUACACCAACGUAUUGAAAACUGAUUUCUUUUAGGAGUUUUAACUUUGAAAACCAAAAAUUCAUUUUAGUCGAUUUAGGUGGUUUCAUAAUUCUGUUUUAAAACUUGACAAAUACUGACAAGAUUAUAAAAGAAACCAGGCAAGUUCGAAACAAAUUACAAACCCAAAAGAUUAAAUCAUAGUUAUUUUAGUACAAAACAAUCUGAGCUCUCGUACACCGUCUGAUCCUAAAUCGGAUGUUUUCCUGAACAAGUAAAGGUAAGACAAAGAGUGAGUUACCAAGCAUCACGUAUAACCAACUCAAAUACAUAUAAAUAGCGUAAUAUAUAAAUCGUAGUAACGCAAAAAACUUAAUAACAGUUGUAUAACUAGUAUGGAACAGAUCUAGAGUAUCACAAAGAUUUCAACAAAGGUAGUACAACAGAACAAAGUACAACAGAAUAGAGCAGAACCAAACAAAUCAAAUAGAACAGAACAUAAUGGAAUGGAGCAGAACAGAACAGAGUAGAGCAAAACAGAGCAUGUAUGUUUAUGUAGAUGCAGUAUUUCUCAAACAGAUCAGAAUGUAAAUUUAUCAGAAAAUAUCCUAGCCAAUUUUGCUACACACCAAAAUAGAAUUCCCCCAGAACUCGUCCAGCCAGAUCACACCAAUAGAAAACUGUGGACAGUGCCACUAGAAUAUUUGUUGUUGAAACUGCCAGACCAGAUAUAUGUGGUCAAAUCACUAUAUCAUAGUCGAGCUGUCAGAAUAGAAUUGUGGAUAAACCACCAAGUAAUGCAGAUCAUUAAACUACCAGAAACUUCCUCAUUUCACAUUAACCCAAAUCCCAUACAAUGUGUCAUGGCACGCGUAUGCAGAAUCGGAGUGAUGAGCAUAUAAGUAAUGCUAUCAUUCAAUAACAGAAUCAAUAGACAUGGGAGUUCAUGUUUUGUAAGACAGACUCAUCAAACCUCAACAGAUCAUAUUAGAUUUGCCAUGAAAUCACAUGCACGACUUUAAGUCAGAAUCAGUAACAAUCACUUUAACAUAUCUAGAUAUCGUAUAUUCUUUAUCAACAGAGUAACGUAGAGAAGUACCAGCAAACUUAACAGAAUACAGACCGUACCUAGAUAAUUCACAUACAUUAUACAAUAGCACACUACAUUCUGAUAGUUUCUACAUACUUAGGUUCGGCAUAGCAAAUAUAUGUAUCGUUCCUAAGUUGUUCAUCAUCAGAUAAUCAGAUAUCAAGUUAUACAAUCUAAUUCAGAUUGUACGGACCCUACAGUAGACAUGCAUUUGUUUUAAACGACGCUUGUGGCCCGAGCGAAAAAUUCUAAAUAUUAUUCCACACGUUCAUGUGGUUUCAUACGGCCUGGAGAAUUGGCCCAUGUGACUCCACACGGUCUAGCACAAGCUUGUGUGUCCUACAUGGCUUGACACACGCUCAUGUCCUUUACCUGUGCUGUCCUAAAACAGUGAGUUACACGGCCUGGAUACAUGCCCAUGUCACUGGCACGUGUGAACCCUGCACAAUUCAUAACCACAAAAACGGUCUGGGAACACGCUCAUGUUCUUCACUGGUUGUUGAACUUAUCAUCGAUAACCUUUAAAAUCUCAUUAAAGAUCGGUAAGUAUUCUCAUUUCCAAUUAGAACCCAUAAAUUCUGUAAUAUUCGUUCUUGUUAAUCUUUCAACUCGAAUACGAAUCUUUUACGAAAUUUCCCAAAGAUCUUGAAAAUUUUGAUAGUUCUAUUCACUUUUUUCCCAUUCUUUUCUUUAAAUUUUUAGCAAACUAGAGUGAAAGUCACCUAAAAAUAAGUUUAAAAUAGAGUAGAAAAUUAAUAAAAGUGAGCAAUAGUUCAAAUGAUUAAAGCCUUUACUUUUUUCUCCCUUGAAAACCAGGUUCAAGUUACGCCAAACUCCCCAUUUCCAUUUUAAUUUCGACCAAAAUUGGAUAUCUUGCCUUGCAAUCCCUUGAAAUUUGAAAACCCUAAGUAUUUAAUCCUCCUUUUCCUAAUUACUCUAGGAUUUUUAUUUCUUUUCUAUUUCAACUUGAAUGUUCCCUCUUUUCCCUUUAAAUUCUUCUUUUCUUUUCUCCUCUUUUUCUUUUUCAUCAUAUUUCACAUUAUUUUGCUAUAAAAAUUAUUUCUUUGCUCACUCCGAAUCAAAAUCAAUCUCUAUUAAAUUCAUUCUACACUGGUUGUUGAGUUUAUCAUCGAUAACCUUCAAAAUCUCAUUAAAGAUCGGUAAGUAUUCUCAUUUCCAAUUAGAACCCAUAAAUUUUGUAAUAGUUGUUCUUGUUAAUCUUUCAACUCGAAUACGAAUCUUUUACGAAAUUCCCAAAAAAUCUUGAUAAUUUUGAUAGUUCUAUUCACUUUUUUCCCAUUUCUUUACUUUAAAUUUUUAGCAAACUAGAAUGAGAGUCACCUAAAAAUAAGUUUUAAAUAGAGUAGGAAAUUAAUAAAAGUGAGCAAUAGCUCAAAUGAUUAAAGCCUUUACUUUUUCUCCCUUGCAAACUAGGUUCAAGUCACGCCAAACUCCCCAUCUCCAUUUUAAUUUCGACCAAAAUUGGAUAUUUUUCCAUGCAACCCCUUGAAAUUUGAAAACCCUAAGUAUUUAAUCCUCUUUUUCCUAAUUACUCUAGGAUUUUGAUUUCUUUUCUAUUUCAACUUGAAUGCUUACUCUUUUCCCUUUAAAUUCUUAUUUUCUUUUCAACUCCUUUUCUUUUUCAUCAUAUUUCACAUUAUUUUUUUGUGAAAAUUAUUUCUUUGCUCACUCCAAAUCAAAAUCAAUCUUCAUUAAAUUCGUUCUUCACUGGUUGUUGAAUUUAUCAUCGAUAACCUUUAAAAUCUCAUUAUAGAUCAGUAAGCAUUCUUCUUUCCAAUUAGAACCCAUAAAUUCUGUAAUAGUUUUUCUUGUUAAUCUUUCAACUCAAAUACGAAUCUUUUACGAAUUUUCCCAAAAAUCUUGAUAAUUUUGAUAAAUCUUGGAAACUAUUAUUGAUUCUUAUGUAAAUCCUAUUUAAAAGACCUAUUCCAAGUACCCUAGAUCAGACCUAGGCACAAGGAACAAUGUUUGAGAUCCUGGUGACAAGUGUGUUCUUUUAUGAGAAAAUCAGACCUAGAAUAGACCACAUGGUCGACUAUACAUGAAACAGCCCAUUUUUAGUGAAAUCAAAAUAGUGAUUUUGGUACCACAAAUUUGAGUCCGUAAGAAAAUUAUUUUAAUAUUAUUUCAUGAUCUACAUUAUGAUAGGAAUAUCGCAUAGAAAUUUUGUUAAGAAAAUUUUACCGAUUUCAUGUUUAAUUGAGAAAAUGACCAAAUUGCAUAAACUGCAAAAGUUUAAUUUUAGUAGCUAAAAGGAUCAAAUAGCUAUGAAAUUAAAAAUUUGAGGUUCUUACAUGGCAAAUGGACCAUUAGGAGAAGUUAGUAGAUAAGUAUGAUGAUUCAUCCAUGGAAAAUUAGAAAAAGAAAAUGAUAAAAUUAGAAAGAUGAUAAAUAAUAACAUAAAGAAAAAUAUCAUCAUUUAUCAUCAUCUCUCCCAAAUAAAAUAUGGAAACCCUAUCCAUGGAGAAUUGAAGAAAGUUAAACUUAUUUGGCCUAAUUAGGUGAGUAUUCAAGUCUCAUUUUUAGUAAUUUAUAUAUUUCUGAGAUUGUAAUAGUUUAAUUUAGCUAUCUCAGGGGUUAAUUUGCAAAUUUAUCAAAGUACUAGGGUUUUUCCAUGGAUUAAUAUGCAUGAAUUGUUAAAUUUCUGGUAGAAAAUGAGAGGUUGUUGAUAGAUAAACAACUUUUGUAAAGUGAAUUUUGAUGAAAUUGUGAUUUAGGGACUAAAUUAUAAAGAUGUAAAAUUCAUGGAAAAAUUAUAAAUUUUAUGAAUUACAUGGGCUGCAAAUGUUAUAUGUAAAAAUUGGCUAGGCUUGGAAUAAGGAUUAAAUUGCAUGAAUUUCAUUUUUCGAGCCUAGGGACGAAAUCGUCAUUAAUUAAAAGUAUAGGGGUAAAUGGUAAUUUUUAUUAGGAUGUGAAUUUAAUUGAAUUAAAUAGGGAUUGUAUUAAAUUGAGCUAACUUUACUUAUAUAGAUUCGGAUAGAUCAAAUACGGAGCUAGAUCGAGGUAAAGAAAAAGUAACGGAUUAGUAGCAUACAAGUUCACGAACAUUGUCGAGGUAAGUUCGUGUAACUAAAUUGAGAAUUUAUAUAUGUUAAUUGAAUUGUAUGUAUGUGUUUGUAUUAUUGUCAUGUAUAUGAAAGUAUUCACAUAUCCAACAAUGAUCGAUAAGGAUAAAGUCUCGUUUGAAUAUAUAAAAUUUGAUUGGAUACAGGGUUCUUGAAUUGGUUGUGGUCCUGCAUAUAUGGCGGACACAGCAUAGCUCAAAAGAGCAUCCCGUUAUUAGCCCUCUCGAGCUUCCCGUUAUAUGGCUCUUCGUGAGCUUCCCGAUUAAAGGCUCUUUGUGAGCUUCCUGAUUAAUGGCUCUCCGAGAUUCCCGAUCUAGCUCGCUUGAACUUCCCGAUAUAUGGCUAUCCAGAGCUUCCUGUUAAUGGCUCUUCAGAGCUACCCGUUAUUGGCUAGCAUGAGCUUCCCGAUUAUGGCUCUUAUGAGCUUUCCGUUAUACAGUCCGGAUAAGCUUCCUGUUACAUGGCUCACAUGAGCUUCCUGUUAUAUGGUUCGAGAGAGGGAUUCCCGAUUAUGUGCUCUAAGAAGCACUCUCGAAUAUGAAUUGACGGAUUACAAAUUGUACACUUCAAGUGUACUACCUGUGUAUCCAUCGAUAUUUCUAAUAAAUUCAACGGGCAAAGUUUCGACAUGAGAUAAUCUGAACUUGAGAUGAAUUAUUAUGGAGAUGUACAUGUUAUAUGGAUAUAUGAUGUGGAAAGCAUAUGUAUAUGAAAAUUUUACAUAAUGAGUUCAUCUUUGAUUCUUGAUAUUCACAUGAAGUACAUGACUAACGUAUUUCUUGAGAUUAUAUGUGUUUAGGCAAAUUGCCAAAUUUUCUAUGGAUGAAUUUUGCAUGUUUACUUUAAAUAUAAAUGAUUGGUAAGUUAAUAUCCCGUUAUAUGAACUUAUUAAGCAUAAUAUGCUUACCCUGUAUUAUUUUUCCUAUUUUAUAGUACUUUGGAAGCUCGUUGGGUUGGAAGCUUGGCGAAGAUACUUCACACUAUCCAUCAGCUCGUUUCGAUAUAAAAAGUAAGUUAAAUCUUAGGUUAUAAUGGCAGGUAUAGGCUAAAAGUGGUCAAGAAUAGCAUGUAUGUGUUUGGUUGAAUUUAGCCAUUGGAAUGGCUUGUGAUGAAUGUGUUUUGAUGUGUAAAUAUAUAAGGUUAUAUCAUGUUUAGUGUGAGAUUGAUAUGGUUGAUUUGUUAGUAAUCUUAUAAGUAUUGUUUAUAUGCAUUUUUGGUCAAAUAGGUAAAUUUGGAUAUAUGGAUUUAUGAAGUGAUACAUCAUGUAUAAGACUUAAUUUUGGGUUGGAUUUGAAUGUCUUGGAUUGGCUUGUGAAUGUGUUAAAGUGUUAAUGUAGGUACAAGGCAAGUUUGGGUGAGAAACAUGGCUUGGAAAUGACCUUAUUUUGUCCACACGGGAAAAGACACAAGCGCGUGUCUUAGCCGUGUGUGACACACGGCCUAGCAUAUGGGCAUGUGUUUUGGCCGUGUGUCCUCUGCAUAUUUAAAAAUUCAAAACAUAAUGCUCAAAAUUUAUCACACAGCCUGGCACACGGGCGUGUGGCUUGGCCGUGUGGCCCCUUCACCUUAAAAAAAUUUUGAGAUCUUGCGAAAAAUUCUAUGAGUACUCGGUUUAGUCCCGAAUUGUUUCUAAUGUAUGUUUUGGGUCACAAGAGCUCAUAUAAGGGACUUUAUGAAUACUUUCUGACAUGAAUGUUAAAUUUUAUGAAAUGUCUGUAUUUGAUCUGUAUAUUUCAGCAAUGCUCCAUAACCUUGUUUCGGCGACAGAUACGGGUUAGAGGUGUUACAAUACAAGCGUGUGGGCCGCUUGUGUGGACCACACAGCCCCCUUACACGACCAUGUCCCCCUGAAACCCUAGAAUUUUUGCUUCUCACACAGCCUAGGACCCUCCACACAGUCGUGUCUCCCCUGUAGGUUGAUUUUACAAUUUUCACACAACCUCAGUCUGUUACAUGACUCAGCUACACAGCCGUGUACCACCUCCACACGGCCUAGUCAUAUGGCCAUGUGUCCCUUAUGUUUUAAAUAUUAUAAUUUUAUCCCCUAUUUUUCAUAUAUUAUAAUUUUACCCUUAUUUUUCAAAAUUUAUAAUUUUGCCCAUAUUUUUUUAGAUUUUAUAAUUUUACCCCUAUUUUUCAUAUUUUAUAGUUUUGUUCCUUAUUUUUAAAAAAUUUUAUAGUUUUGUCUCCUACUUUAUAAAUUUUACAGUUUUAACCAAAAUAUUAUGUUUCAAUCAGAUUAGUCUUUGAACAAGUUCUGAACUAGUUUUAGUGAAUUAAAUUAUGCAAUUAGGUCUCUAAUGAUAUGAAAUAUGUUAGAAUCCUUGAUUAAUCAAAUUUAUAUGUUAUUUAUUUGUCUUUACUUAUAUUUGUGUUAAUUAUGAAUAAUAUAUAUUAUUAUUGUAUCUAUACUUGUGAUCGUAUGAACGACAUGCCCUAUGAUACUGUUACUCCGAAUACAUGAAAAGCAUGAAUUUUGGCUAAUGAGUUGAACUAUUAUGAGCAUAUUAAUUGCUAUUGUAUUAUUCUAUUAAAAGCAUAAUUAAAUACUACCAUAUUGAUUUAUUUGAGUUUGUCAUAUUGCAUUGCAUGGGGUGAAACGAUGUGAAUGAAAGAAAUUGAACAGUUUAUCUGCACCAUUAAGUGGUUUAUCCACACCGUUUGAACAACUUUUAUCUGCAACGUUUGAACAGUUUAUUAGCAACUUCAAUUUGCAAAUAUGUUAUGUAUCCACAACCUUUUGGCAACUUGUCUGUAAAAACUAUUUUAUCAAAAUAUCCGGUGGUAUAUCCACCAUUUUUUAUUACUAGUGAUUUAUCCACAAUGAGUGGAUCGUCCACAACAAUGAGUGAUUUUAUCCACAACAUGGUGUAAAUGUAGGGAGUUCUAGGAAGCUUUUACUGUAGUGUGUAGUGGUGGGGUAAAAACCUUUUUUCUAAUAAAUUGAAAUUGAAUGCAUUUAUGAGCAUUUGUAUUGUCGUGAACACCGAGAUAUUAUGAUAAUGAGUUAAUCUGGAACACCGAAAUUUUGAGUUGCUAUUAAAAUUGUGUUUAUCCUUUGAACAUUGAGAUAUUAUGUUGAUGAAAUUUAUCUGAUUUACUGAUAUUUUGUAUUGUUAAUUAAUUGCGGUUUAUCCUUUGAAGUAUGUUUUGUCUACUGUUUACUUUGAUCUUUUUGCAAUGGAACUCACACUGAGCUUCAUAGCUCACUACCGUUUUUAUUUCUAUCCUUACAGAUAGCCCACCAAGUUAGAACGUGGGCCCGGCAUACGGAGGGCUCGACUCGAAUUGACAGUUCUACCAUAUGAAUAUUUUAAAAUUACUAAUUGAUAUUUUUAUUAUUUCAGAUACUAUCAUUUUAUUUUGAACUAUGGCAUGAGACUUAGGUUGAUUUUUAAUUAGCAUGCAUGUCUUUUAAAUAAUUCUUUUUAAAUGUUGAAUCAUGGAUUAUAACCAAAUAUGCAUGAAAUAUAGAUGUUAUUAAAACUAAGUUAAAAAUCACGUUUCCACAGCAAGAUUAUAAAUAAAUUUUCUCUAAUAAAUAAAUUAGAAAUUAACUAAAAUUUUCAAUGAUAAUCAUCCUUUACAAAAAAGAUGUUAAACUACUUUUUUUAACUCAUAGAUUUUUCUAAAAAUAAGCUAAUUUUUCUUCUAAAAUAAAAAAAAAUGUUUUGAAUCGACUAUUUUAUAAACCUCGAUUGCUACUAGGUCAUUUUGAUGGCCAAUGUAAUUUCCCGAAUUUAGGUCUAACGUCUAAGCCAAAUUGGGGAGGUUACAGAGAAAUUUAGAAAUUGGGAAUUUUCAAUGUUAAAUGAUAGAAAAGACAAAUACUAAAGAAGUUUAGAAAAGUCUAUAUAUUGAGAGAGAAAAAAUUAGGGUAUUAACUAGAUUGUAAGAGAUUGAAAAGUAUUGGGGCCAAAGUGAAAAAAUUUAAAGUUAAAAUGAUUAAAUUGAAUUGAAGGAAAAUGAGGGACUAGAGGUGAAAAUUUACCAAAAGAAAGAAUGAAUCAUACAUGGUAUUAUAGAAAAAGUUAAAGGACAAAAUGGUAAAUAUUUGAAUUAGAUAAUUAUGAAAAUUUACCAAAAGAAAGAAUGAAUCAUACAUGGUAUUAUAGAAAAAGUUAAAGGACAAAAUGGUAAAUAUUUGAGUUAGAUAAUUAUAAAAAGUGUAAUGAUUAAGGACUAAAUUGUCUGAAAACAUAAUUGGUAGGGCACAAUGAUAAUUAAGUGAAUAAAAUAAUUAUUGAGAGUGUAUUAAUUAAAUAUGAAAUUGUGUCAAAUAAGAUUGGAGGGUCAAAAUCUAAAUCAUUAAAUUAAAAGAUAUUUUAAUGGAUUAAGUAGAAAAGUGUAGAAAAAGAUGAAAGAACCUUUCAUCUUUAUAUAUGCCAUCCGCACCACUUCUUAUAGCCACCAUCUUCAACUUUCCAUUUUCUUACAAAUAGGUCCUCACAAUUAAGUUAAACUCCUCUAAUUUCUUUUAUGAUUAGUGAGUGAAAUUAAUAGAGAAAUGUAGUAAUUACCCAAAUUUCAUAAGAAAUGCAUCCAUGAAUGCCUUGAAAGAGAGAAAAUAAAGAUUAGUAUUGAGUACAAGAGAUUAAGGUAAGAAAUGUUGACUUUUCAUGAAAUACAUAUUAGUUUUGAUUGAAAAACAUAGAUUAUGAUAUGUGAGUAUGAUUUUAACGUGUAAAUAUUGUAUGUUUUUAUACGAUAAAUGAAGAAAAAGUGAAGAAAAGUGAGAAACAAGUGGAGAGUUAAAGCAAAGGAGGAGCCAAAGUAAGAAAUAGAAAAAAAACUUGAUUCCUAACUUUGAGUUGUAAGUACAACUAGAGUUUCACUUUUUUUAAAAAAUUUGUGGUAAAUUGUUAAGUUAAAUUAGAUGGAUAUAAGUCUUAAUAUGAUGUUUAAUUAUAAGCUUGCAUGUUUUAUAAAUAAAGAAUAAGAUUUGAUAAUGAUUAAGUAUAAGGAAAUGAUAAAUUGAUUUUAUUUACUAAGUAUUACGUAAUAGAGAAAAUAAAAGAAAAGUAAGUAAAAAAAGACUAAAGUGUAAAAGAUAUAAAAGUUGAUAGAAUUACAGUUAUUAUAAAUAAAUGAGUAUACAAAGUGAAAUAUGUUAAUGAGUAAAAUAUGGAAGGAUGCGGUAAAGUUAUGAUAAUAUUUGAUAAACUAUGAAAAAGAAAAGGAUUAAAUUGCAAAAUAUGUAAAAGUGACAUGUGAAAGACAUAGUAAGAAUUAUUAGUGAAUUAUGGAAUUUUUAUAAGGUAUUAUGAUAUAUGUGAUAUAUUAUUGAUAUAUGAUUUUUUUGUUAAUUGAAUUGUUAUAUCAAUUAUUAAAUUAAAAUAAGUUCAAAGUAUUUGAAUUAUGUUUUGAAAUAAGAAAAUGAAAUGGAUUAUGAUAUAGUUUCUCAAGUAGACGAGAUAAGAACUAGUGGGAUAUAGAUGACAUACCAUUAAGGAAAUUUAGCGCACUCUCUAUUACGCACUUCAAUGUUGUCUCAUUACGCACUUUAAUUUUGUCCUGUACUGAUUCGUAUAUCCCACAUGUUCUGUUUAGUGUACUAGGCCUUUGUUAAAUGUUUAAUACUAUAUUUGUUAAAUGAAGAAACAAGAAAAUUAAAUGCAUUGAAAUAGGACUAAAUUGGGUCUUGAUAAAUAAUAGCAAUAGAUGAAAAGAUGUAAUAAUUGAUUGGUAAGUUUAAAGUUAAUUAUGCAUGUUCUGAAUAAAUUUAUGAAAAUGAUCAUAAAAUAAAUUAAGUUUUUAUAUUGGAAAAAAAUGUUAAUUAAACUCCGGGUGUAUUUACUAAGCUAGCAAUAACUUAACAUGUGUUUUAUACACGUAGGAAAAAGAGUAGAAACAAAGGAUACCAAAGAUUUGAAGCAUCUCAUCACAUCACCGGAGUCAAAAAAGACUAAUUCUUCUCUAUUUUGUCUUAGAUAAGUGGCAUGUACCUAGAUGAGUGUUAUGUUAGUAAAUGAAAUGUUAAGUGAUCUAGUCGUAAAACUUGAUAUUGGUUUGAUUAUUUUAAGAAAUUGAGUAUGGAGAAUGCAUGAUUAUAAUUGAUAAAUGAAAUGAUCUGGUUUAAAUUGUCUAUUGAAUAGGGAAUUUACAUGGUGAAAUUGAUGGGCUAUUUUGACAAAUUUUCCUUUGGAUUUUCUAAAAUAUCGAACCUUAUUUAGGUAUCAAUACUUUGACUAGGGAACAAAUAUAUAUGAAUCUUAUUUGAUUUUUCUAAAAUAUUGAAGUUUAAAACGGUAUCAAUACCAAUACAGGGGUAUCGAUACUUGAAACAAGGUAUCGAUACCUACGAGGCAGUAUCAGUACUUCAGCGCUAUUUUGCAUAAAUGAGAUGUUUAAACAAAAAUUUUAUCCAAUUUUAUUCAAUAUAAUAGUAAUAUGAAAAUAACAAGUAAAUAAUAUUAGAACAUUCUCUAUAAAAGGUCCGAUUUAAUAGUAUAAGGCCAAGGUUACUCUGACAUCAAAUGUGACAUUCCUAUAUUUUGACCCGGGUGGUCGGGUCGGAUAUAGGGGUGUUACAUUUAUUAGUAUCAAAAUCCAGUUUUCUAAUCCUAAGGUCAAAAAUGAAUCUAGAAGUACAUGUCGUUUGUUUACUGAUGUGAUGAGAUGUGAUUUUUUUUUUUUUUUUUGGAUAAAGCUAGAUUGUGUGAUGUGGAUAGAAGAUGUCCCGAGAUUCUAGAGAUGCUUCAAAUGAAGAAAUAGAAAGUAGGGCUUCUAAUCUUAACCGAGGAGAACGUGUACCACUGUCUGCGGCCCAGAAUGAGCAGGAAGAACUAGUAAGAUCAAGGUCUGAACAAAGGCAAGAGUGAUAGGAAAACAAGAAAUGAAUCAGAAUUAGUACAUGUUAAAGGUCCAAACACAAUAAGCUUUCUUUUAGACAUUAAUCCAGUUCUCAGCAGUUUAUCAUAAUCAAUGUCCCUCCAGUCCUCCUCCACCUCCUGUCCCUCUUGUGCCAGAAUCAUAGUCCCAACAACAAUUUUCUGUUACAAAUUAACUAUCUCCUCUGGAGAAAAUUAGAAAACAUGGAGCUGAAGAAUUUAGAGGUAAGAAAUAAGAUGAUCAUGCUAUGGUUGGAUAUUGGUUAAAAAACAGUUCAGAUGGAGACAAGUUGAGAUGUGUUGUGUCAUUAUUACAAGAUGAAACUUAUCAAUGAUGGACCACUGUAAAGAGUGUGAAUUCGGUUGAAAGAAUUACAUGAAAUUUCUUCUUAUCAGAAUUUAAAAAGAAGUUUGUGGGUCAACUAUAUUUGGAAAGUAAGAAGUGAGAAUUCAUUGAUUUGAAGCAAAACAAAAUCACUAUGUCUGAAUACAAAAAAGAAUUUGUGAGAUUGAGUAAAUAUGCUUGAGAGCUAGUGACUACGGAAUCUGAUGUGUAGAAGAUUCGAGUGGGGACUGAAUGAAUAUCUUUAUGUACAUGUGGGUUUGAAUUUACAAGAUUUAUCAUCUUUGGUUGAAAGAGCACAAAGAAUAGAAGGAAUGAAUAGACACAAGACAAGAACUCGGGAAAAAGAGUAACCACUAGUUGAACAAACUAUGAAAACUACUCAAGUUCAGCAAGGGGAAAUCGGAUAGAAACAGUAAGUGGCACUGUUAGUAGUCAGAGAUAUGGAAAAGAAGUAGCAAAUUGAUCCGAAUCUCAAAUGAUACCACGAGCUUAUGCAGUUAUGCCAUUUGAUAAUCCUGAUGUGAUAACUGGUAAUGUUUCUUUAACUAAUAUUUUAAUGUUUGUGUUAAUUGAUUUCGGUUCUGCCCAUUAGUGGGAAAAAAAAAAGAGAAUUAUUAGUAGAAUGUGUCGAGAAGGAUGAAUUAAACAUUAGUUCUCCUGGGUAAAGGGAGAAGAAAGUGAAACAUAUGAGUAAUGAUUUUUGAGAAGUUACAGAUUAUAGAUUUUAUGUUAAGCUUACAGUUUUGAUGUGAUACUUGGCAUGAUCUGCAUAUCAGAAUAUGGUGAAAACUUGGUUGAAAUUUCAGUACUGCCCUGCAAAAAUUUCUUCAAAUUUGAUAGUCAGUUAGAAUCAGUGAUUCAAAAAUUAAAAGACAGGUUUAGAGAUUGUAUUAUUGAGUCUGGAGCCUGUUGCAUUACAUGGGAUUCUUGACAUGAAUGGGAAUCAAUAGUUAUUGAUUGAUUUUAGUUAUCAAUAUUGGAAAAACUUUUAUGAUGUUUUUCAUGUAUAAAUGUCGAAAUAGUUUCAGAAGAAAUUGAAAAUUCAGAUAGAUCUUAUAUCCGAAGGAGCGAUGUGGGUGAGUGAAGAAAUUAUAAGACAAUAGUAUUGCAGUUACCAGAGUAUUAUCAAUUUUUGAGGACAAAAUUUUUUAAGCGGGAGAGAAAUGUAAAAUCCUCAAAAUUUUAGGAAUUUGAAACAAUGAUAAAUAAAUAGUGAAUUAGUUAUAAUUUGAGAAAGUCGAAAUUUGAACAUUUUCAGUGUUAAAAGAAAGUGAAGUCAGAUACUGAAAAAGUUUGGAAAAGUCUAUAUAUUGAGAGAAAUAAAUCUGGGGUAUUAACUAGAUUGUAAGAGAGUGAAAAGUAUUGGAGGUAAAUUGAGAAAAUUAAGGUUAGAAUGAUUAAAUUGAAUUAAAAGAAAAAGGAGGAGGGAUAGAGGUGAAAGUUUGCCAAAAGAAAGAAUAAAUCAUACAUGGUAGUAUAGAAAAAGUUAAAAGGACAAAAUGGUGAUUAUUUGAAAGAAAUAAUUAUGAAAAGUGUAAUGAUUAAGGAUUAAGGACUAAAUUGUGUCAAAACAUGAUUGGUAAGGCAAAAUGGUAAUUAAGUCAACAGCUUAAGUAUGACAUAAUACAAGAAUAUGGUACAAAGGAACUUCAGCUAACAAGUGACAGAAACCAAACUAAAUUGGGUCUUUCCACCAUCAAUAUUCCUUUCAAAUCCUAGUUCAUAUCACUUAUCUUAUGUCCAUCCCUAGCAAAAGCAAAAGCAUGCUUGGAUGAUGAAUUAUUCUCCUCCCAUUAUCAAACUCCAAGGCAGCCCACUAAAUCAAACUUUGUAUUCACACCCAGAUUCCCUGUGUUUGAUCACCCAUAUUUGUAUUCUAAUAAUAUAGGCAAGUACAACUAGUUUGAGUUCCUCUACUUAAGAAUUUGAGCAAAAUUUGCAGCAAACAAGAACAAAACAAACCCACAUUUGAUAUAGGAAACAAGUAUGAGUCUAUGAUGAUACAAAGCAUGCCAAUAUGUGAGGUUAUUAAAACCAGGAAAUAUUCAGAAAGUACCUAUAUUUGGCAUCUCCAAUCCUCAAUUAUCCCCGCAGUUUAUGUCCUUGUGCACAACAUCACGUAAAAAAUCCGUAAUGACAGACUCAAAAUCCGGCAUUUUGGCAUACCCCGGAAAAUAAUUGAUAUCGAUGACUAGGUAAUUCUCCUUGUUUUUCCCAUCCCUAAUCACAUCGAAAUUAAACAAAUUUAACCUCAAUUCCUCCUUUAACCCUUCCACCAACUCCUUCACUAAACUCUCCGGGGGCAUUUCCGUCUUUUCAAAUUUACAACCUUCCCCUCCCCCUGCCGCUGCCAAAUUCGAGACCUGCGAAAACGGCAGUGAACCUUUCAAAUUUACCAGUUUCUCCUCCGAAAUAUCGGGUAACGACUUCCGUUUCACGCACCGGAAAUAUUUGCCGGCCACGUAGACUUUAAAGACGACGCCGCCGUGAUUAACGAACUCCUGCAAAACAAACGGCGCCGUUAAGUUAUUUAACCCAUCUUUGUCGAAGAUGAGGUGCAGUUUGUGCGACGUCUCACUGCCGUCCGCGUCUAACGGCUUCGCGAUUAACGGAAAGUUGAGUUUCAAAUUUUCCAAACCCGUAACUUCGGUAAUGGUGAUUUGUUUGGGGACUCCGGUGUUGUUUAUUUUUAGUUUCGAAACAGUUUCGAGCAUUGAGAUUCUGUUUCGGAGGAUGUCGAUGGACUCUGGAGAGGCGAUGAUGGGGAUGUUAGGGUUUCGGGAAGCGAAGUCUUGAAGAUUUUGUUUCCAGUCGGAGUCGUACAAUUUGUGGAGGAUGCAAUCGAAGGGUCCUUGUUGGAUCAAAGGUUUGGUGGGGUCGAUUUUGGUUAAAACAACGCCAUUCUGGGAGGCGUGAGAAAGGAGGGACGGUACGAUGAAAGUUUGCUCCUUUUUCGGAGUUAAAGCGUAGCCGAUUUGGUAGGGUUUUGAAGAAAGAUUUGACAUUUUUGGGAGGGAGAUCUGUUUGGAAGACGAGAAAGUUGAGGAAAGUAGAAGUUGCAGUGAGAAAAUAAUACAUAUGAGCUUCAGGAGAACGUGGCAAGUUGAAUAUAUUUAUAACACGUGUACUACUGCGUCCAGACUCAAAUGUUAACUGAAAAGAAAAAGGAAUAAGGAGAAAAUACGGAAAAGUCAAAUACGUAAUUAGAAUAUAGAGAUCUAAUAAAUAAAUGACAUGAACAAUUUAAAUUUAGUUAAUAAUAUAUCAGUAUAUAGAGGUGAUAAAAAAUUAUAAUAUAAUUAAAUGUAAAUAUUAGAUUAAAAGAAAAUGAUUUAUUUAUAUAAAUAGCAUGUGUUUAAAUCUGUAACUUUUUAUUAAUUUUUAUAAAAAAUAAAAUAUUAAGAUACUUUUAAAUAAUAUAAAUUUUUAAAAUAGAGAUUAAUAUUUUCAUAAUUUUUUUAAUCAAUUGGUGUUCGGUUGACUUUUAACAUCAAUCAAUUAAGAGUUUAAAUAAUGGUAUAAAUAAGUUAUAUAUAAGUGAGAGAAAACAUUUUAAAUAAAAUAAUUUGUUUUAAAAAAAUUAUUUAGUAAUUACUAUUGAUAUAAUGGUAAAUAAUCACAUUUAUGAUUGAAUUUCUCAAAAAUAAUAUUUUUUUUUAAAAUUACCAAAUUAAAUUUUUUUUAAGUAUUGGAGUAGGCCGAAAUAACAAAAACGCUUCCAAUUAGAAGCAUUUUUAGCGGAUUUAUAGAAAAAUGCUUCCAGUUAGAAGUGUGUUCCUUCUUGUCUGAUUUUUUAUUGUUAGGGUUUUAAUUUUUUUUAAAUAGGGUUAAGGUUUCUAGGUUCUAGUGGUUUAGGGUUUUGUAUAUUUUUAAAGUUUUUUUUAUAUAUUCUUUAGAUUUUUAAUAAUUUUUGAGAUGUAAAGUUAAUAAUUAUUUAAUUUGAUAUUUACAACAAUUGUAUUUACACCAAUCAUAUAUUUGAAUUGUAACAUUUAAUUCAAUUCAUAAUCUAAAAUCGAACUCCUCGAUUCAAUUAACUUCUAGUUUGUAAUUUUUUUUCUAUUUUUACGAAUGCAACUGAGUUUUGAUCAGAUUUUUUUUACAGGAGGUUGAGGUCAAUCAAAUUUUUCGGUACAUUUUUUUCGAACUUUCAGUGCAUUUUUUACGGGUGGUUGAGGUUGAUCAGAUUUUUUACGGGUAGUUGAGGUUGAUCAAAUUUCUGGAAAUGCAUUGAAAACACGUCCUACGUGGUGCGUUUUCCCUCUAACGCUUUCAGCGCAUGCAAACUUCCACUCACCUCGGCUUUAUAAAAGGAUGGUUUUUAGCAUUGAGUGGCAUAAAGCAAUUUCGAGCAAACAAAAUUGCAAGAAGAAGAGGAAGUUGGCAAGAUGUUUUAUAAGGCUUAAUUUGAAGCAACCACGCAAUUUGCAUUAAGUAAGGAUCUAUUUUUGUUGUUCAUAUAUAAUUACAACAUUAUUUUUUUGCAUAAUGUUUUUGUUUUGAACAUGUGGAACAUGUUAUUUCGUUGAAAAUGAGUGGAUAAAUUAAUGUUAUUGUUUAUUACGAUGAUGAAGUCCAUGACGUCGAGAAUGGGGUUUUUUUUAUAACACAACGCAAUUGGCUUUUAACCCAAACAUACAAUUGCCAAAACUGCGUAGAAGAAUUAGGCGAAAAAUCGUCGGAUCCAAUCAGAUGAAAGUACCAUAAUUGGAAUAUCGAUUUUGUACUUCGAUCAACCUCGUCAAAUAUGAUGCUUUCGAUAUCAAAGACGCAAGGGGGUUGAGGCAAUGGUGCAGACGCAUAUUACUAGUGUAUCACUAAUACUCGAGUUAUAUGCGAUGUUUGCAAACACAGAUGAAGGCGCUUGGAGGUCAAAAUAUGUUCCAGUUCGAGAGGUCAGAACGGAAGAACAAGCUUCAAGAUUCUAACGACACAGUUGUGCAAUAGGUUCAUUACUUUGUUAGAAAGUUCUCAUUAUGGUAUCCCAGAAUUAUCAAUGGGAAGACACUCAUCGGUUUCUGUAACACCCGAUUUUCAAUUAACCGGAAAACUUGAAAUAGUUAGAGGAUUAAUGUAACACCCCAUUUCCUGAACUAAUCGCAAGCUCCGAGCAACAGGAUGUCAUAUUCGUUGUUGGAACAACAAAUAUCAUUCGAUCCAUAAAAAUUUCAAAUCAUACAUUUAAACCCAUGGCCACAUCAUGAUUAACAUACAAAUAUCUCAACUAAUAACCUAUUUAUUCAUUGCAUUUCAUGCAGCCUCUGUUCCAACUAUAUAUAUAUUGAUUCACACCCAAAGCAUUAAAACCUCAUCUAAAUACUCGCAUUGCAACAUCAAGAUCAAAUGUAUACAUAGUACAAAACAUUAUCAACUAUCAUAUAUGCCUAUUUAUAUAACAUAAAAUCCUAUAGGUACAUGCCGACCAAAGUAGCAAUAGGUACAUGCCGACCAAAGUAGCAAUAGUUUCACCAACUCGAUGAGUGCCGGAUUAUCUGCUGGAUGCUAAUAACAAUGAGUGCACACGAUUGAACCUAACCUACGCAUGGAAAACAAACCGGACGCUGAGUAAUCAACUCAGUGGCAUUUCUAUAACUAAUAUUAUAACAUAACAAAAAUUAUGUAAGGACAUAAACAAAAUAAGAUAAUUAUGUAAGAACAUAAACAAAAUAAGAUAAUCAAAGGUCCAUAAGGAGUUUAAUAUGUUAAAUUAUGUUAUAAGAACAUAAUCAUUUCAUAUUGCAUUUGUAGUCAUAUCGGCUGGUUGCCACAUAUUCAUCUUCAAAUUCCUGACCUGUAACUCCAAAAUUCAAUUAAACAUUGAACAAUCUCUUACAUGCAAAUAAAUCACGCUUUGCAAACAAAACCGGGUCUAAAAUUAGCUUACAAAAGCUCCGAGAACAAACAAGGAUUAAAUUGUAACAUUUUUAAAAUAAUAAGUGAAUGUGAGAAACAUGGGUCACACGGUUGUGUGGGUUAAAAGUCCAACUUACCAUAGGUCACAUGGCCUUGUAGUGCUAGCUCAUGUAGUGUAUGAUUGAGCUAAUCAGUAUCAAAUUUCAUGCCUUAAUUGGCACCCAGAUACACCAUUCAAAUCUAGUAGCACAAGCAAUUCUAUCAAGCACUACCAAGUUUCUCAAUCAACUAUCAUCCUUAUAACAAUUCCUACCAUUCUAUUCAAUUUAUGGCCAUUUCAUUUCUAGCAACUCAAAUCACAUUCUCAACCUCACAAACAUACCAACUGCAUACUCAACUCAUAACAAUAAACCAGAUUUGAAUGACAUAAAAAUACAAAUUCUAACCGUUAAGACAGCAAUUCAGACAACAACCAAGCAUAUAAUUCGAUUAACUAUUUAAUGCAUUAAUUUGGUAGUUUCCUAGUUACGCACUUCUGAACAACAACUUAAUAUUUAUUCUUAGAAAUAGCAGAUUUAAUAUUUAUUUACAGACAAUAAUUAAACAUGCAAUUUUUGAACAACAUUUUAAUACAUUUAUUCAGACCAGCCCAUUUUGUACAAAAUGGACUGCCCUGUUUAUACAACAUUAUUAUGUAUAACAUCAAAUUGGACAGGUUAUUACAUCAAGUAUGCAAGCACUUAACCGGCAAGAAAUCAUAAUUAAUAUGUCUGUCUUUGAACAACUUAAAUGCAUUGAUAAUGCAAGAGAUUAAGGCACAUUAACAGCCUAAAUGUUAAACAUUAAUCCCGAGGAUGAAAUGUUGAAAAUCUAGCAUUCGAACAAAUUGAAAUCCAGCAUUCAACAGCAGCAACUUAUAGCAUUUAAAUCAUAAAUUUCCCUUUAAUUUAGACAGCAACAAAGAGUAACAAUACAUAGUAUUAAAAUCAAUAAACAACAGCUCAUUUAACCCUUACAAUGAGUAGCCAAAUUAAAAAAAAAAAAGACAACAUUUAACCGAAGUUCCCUUCAUUUAAAACAGCAGUUAAUGGCAUUUAAAUCAAAGGGAUUUGUAUGUUGAAUUUUCAGCAUUUGGGCUGCAUUAAACACUUCCAAUCAACAGUCAAAUUUAAUAAUCAACAAUCACACUUUCCUUCAUUUACAACAGCAGGUCAAAGCAUUUAAACAAAAGAAUAUGCAUGCUAAAUUUCCAGCAUUUGGACAACAUUUCAACAUGAAAAUUUCCAGCUUUUCACCUUCAAUAUUUCGAAUAUUCAAAAGCAAAAAGAAGGGUACAACUAAUCAAUUAAAAUUUUUGAACAUAAUUCAAGGUAUAUGUUCAACCGAACAUUCAUGUUAACUCAUAAUCAACAAGUUAUUAAGUAGAAAAUAAAAACAUUAUUAGCAUGCAUGCUAUCUGCAUACAACUACCGUUCAACUUCCAUCUCCUACCAGCCUUACCAAUUUCACCAUUUGAAAGAACAGUAAGGAAAAGAAGAGAAAAGAACAAGGGCGUGACUGUGAGAAUCUCACCAGAAAAUCCAACAGAAACUACUCUGAAGCCGUGCCUUUCCCUUUCUUACUGCUGCUUCCAGCUUCUCCCUUAGCUGUACACAACCAUUUCCUUGUUAAAACAAAAGAAAACACAUUCCGCAGCCCUGUAUUUCUACUAGAACACUUCAUGAAUUUAUUAGUCUUGGACAUGCAAGAACUCAGCUGCAAGAGGGACCUUCGGUCAAGCUUAAAACCAACCUCUCCAAAGUCCCAUUCCCAGUUCCCACCAGUGGUCUAGAGGCAAAGACGAGUUGAGGAAUUUACCUAUUUUUCUUCCUAAAAUCAGCUCCUAAUGAGCCCAGUUUGACCAUGAAACAGUUUAACCACCCACUUCUCUUUCUUCAAACAGUUAGCAAAGAUGAGCAUAAGGAAAGAAAAUCAAAAUGUUUAAGUCUUUUUCUGUUUCUAUCUUUCGUCCAGCCACAACCAUUCACAACUUCAGUUUCCUCGCUCUUUUUUCUUUCUCACCGUCCCAUCCCUUUUUCCCAAGAAAAUCCAUUUUAAUUAAAAUUAUAUGACAAUAUCUAAAUGUUAGUGGGAACAAUCAUUGACCAAUUUCCCAUGUUUACAAUCGACCACCCAACCAAAAGUCGCACACACCCUAAACCCAUUAGUUAACAUUAUAAAAUAUUAAGCAUAAUGAUUAACACCACCAUCAUCUAACUAUCUAGUUUCAUUUGAAAGAAACAUUUGUAAAGCAUAACUAUGUAGAUAACUGGCGCUAACUAGCCCAACCACCAUACCAAAAUUCCCUCCUCAACCAAGGUUAUGAAUUGAAAUAAAAUGAAUGUCUUUGGAGUUAUUAAAUUUACAAAAGAAAAACAAUACUUUAACCCUCCAUCUUGUAUUGAAAUGAUACUUUUACCAUUUAAAUCCUUAAUUUAAUUAUCUUAAAUCACCUUAGGUAAUUACAAUUUCAAAAAAUUAAUUUUUGAAGAAACUUUAAUACAAUUUUAAUAAAUAAAAGAGAGUUGAGAGAAGAAUAAAAUUUAAGUGAGAAAUUCAAGAGAGAUUUGAGAGAAAUUUGAGAGAGAUUUAAAAAUAUGAGAGAGAGAGAGAGAGUUGAGAUUGAAUUGUAAAAAAAGGAAAGAAAAUAGGGUUUAUAUAGAAGAAAAAAUUCGUUAAGGGGGUUCAACGACCAUUUGCUAAAAAUGUUUUCAACUAAAAGCAUUUACAUUUUCGCUAUUUCAACUUGAUCCCAUAACUUUUUUUUUAAAUGGCUUAAACUAGUACUUUUUUUAAAAGGCAGUAUUUUUAGCACUCCAGGGCACUUUACCAUAAAAGAUUUUUGGAAUUUCAGGGGGUUUGGUUCAGUAAAAUAUUCUGAGUCAACGGAAAAUGUUAAGUUAGUAAACUGAAAAAGAAGGCUUUAUCCCAUUAGGCAAGAAGGAGUGGAAGACCAAACCUCUCACUUUAUUCACUCUCUCACCUCCACUCAUCUCGUAAAAGGACUCCAUCAUAGGCAAAUUUUCUGUUUCUCCAUGAUCUUGGAUUUGGUAGCUUUCAUACACUAAAGCAAUACACAGAAAGCCUAGAGAAUCAGAAGGUUAGUUAAUCUUUUCUUUUCUUUUUUUGUUUUUGUUUUUUAAAUUUAGGUUUGAAUUGUCCUAUCUUUGUAGUUGGGACUAUUUUAUUUAGGAAUUUGGUGUUUGGAUCAUGUGAACAAGGUGGGUGUUUCUUUUUUUUUUUUUUUCUGAUGGAUUUUAUUGCAACUUCAGUUUCUAUUUGGUUGGUUAAAAAUGAGAAAAAAAAAACAAAUAGAAAAUAUAAAAGGUAUUUUCUAGUUUGAAGUGAAAAAAGCACCUCUUUGAAUGGUUAGCUGCCCAAUGAAGAUUUUGAUUUUCAGCUGAGUGUUAUGUACUUGUAUGAACUCUGUUUGAGAUUAAUGAUGUGAGUUUUGGUUGAUAUAAUUUACAACUUAGUUGUUUUGAUUAAUACUUUGUUAUCUGUUUAUCUAACAUUGAGAGGGACACUCGAGAAUUAGAUGAAAUCUUGCAAUACUUGGAAAAAUAGUGAUGAUUUUGAUAAUUGAAUAUUAGUUUCUUUAACCUUCCUUACGUGUCUUGCAAAUGUUUUAAUAUGAAAGUGAAGUUAAACUGUAGAUUUUUCAUUUUAAUUAAGUGGAAAAGUUUCAGUAUUGUUAACAAAUAUGUUUCAUUUUUAUAGAUAUGUACAAGAACCAACUCAAAGAAGUUGCUUUAAUCUGGUGUCUAAUUCUUGCAUCCGAGAAGGACCUAAAUUUUUAAUGCAGCUUGUUACACCAGGAAACUAUGCUUUUAUAAACUCUGAAAUAAUUUGUUCUCUUCAUCUUGCCACUGUAUUUUUCUUGGAAUCUCUACCCUCUGUAACAUACUUCUCAAUGAUUGUCUUUUAAAUGAGAAUGUCCUAUAUAUUUCUCAUGCAUAUAAAAACUCAUGUUUAGUACCAAAUGUAAUAGCUUAAAUGCAAGAGCCUUAGUUGGAAAGAAACAUGAAAAAGUGAUUGGUUUUUCCAUAUUCGGUUCAGUAAAUCUUAUGGUCACUUCCAUGAUAUUUUCAUUGAUUCCUAGUUACUUAGGAACUUCCAAACUGAAGGGCCGACCCCGUUUGAGAAAGGCAGGCGACCAAACCAAUAUCUUUAUUGUUCCCUUUGUUGUUGUUCGAUUGUUUUGCAACUUACAAGUAUAUAUAAAAGAUUGGGGAAGGGAAGGUAUCUAAACUCACAAGCUUAUAAUCAGAAAAAAAGAGAAAGAUGCAGGGCCAUGUCUCACAGGAUACUCCGGUUGGUGUUCCGGCAGCUUUAAUAUGGGAUGUAUACCGUGGUCUGGAACUGGGGAGGCUUGUGGAUAAACUAGCACCGGAGGUUCUUGGAAGGGUAGAAUUCCUAGAAGGUGAUGGAGGCGUUGGAACCAUUGCCAAACUCACACUUCCCCCAGGCACGUACUUGAUAUAUUGAUAGUCUUUGGUUAGAAAUAAUAAGUGAUUCUAUUUUGCAAUAAAAUGUGAAUUUCAUUGUAGGAAGCCCUGGAAGGGGUUACAUGAAAGAAAGAUUCACAAAGAUUGAUGAUGAAAAUCGAGUUAAAGAAACAGAAGUGCUUGAAGGAG
rnacentral:lncRNA from 1 species